AUUUUGAAGCUGUCAAAGCUCCCUCCCUGGAAGUUCUGCAAAGGGGAGCUCAGGUCCUGCUCAUCUAGCAAGUGGGCCCUGGGCCCGUGUCCGUGGAGCCUGAAUGUGGCUGGUGGGUCCACCUGAGGGUCCUGGUUACGAGUGGAACCUGCAGACCUAUUAUAUACUGGGCCCCGUCGUGCUGUCUAGGAAAGUAAAUUUUCUUGGGUUCUAAUUCUUUGGAAAAGUCGUAUUUCAUAUAUAGUAUUUAAACAAAUAUUUGACCAACCAGAACACCAGGCUCACAGGCCAAGUGGAUGUGAGAGGAACACUUAUUCCAGAGGCCCAGGGGCUGCGGCCCUGCCCAGUGCGAGGCCCUCGGAGGUCAGGGCCUGACUGCAUCCCUCACGUGAUCACGGCCGGGCCAGAGACCCAGACCCUGUAACACAGGGUCACAGAGCACCUAAUGCUCGGGAUGGUGUGCGGGUUAGACCGUUCGGCCCUCUGCCCGAUGAGCUGCCCUCUGCCUCAUGGAUUUCAGUUAUUCCAUUGAAAAAUGAGACCAGCCUUUCCAGGCUCAGCAUCUCAAACAGCUGCAACCACCUCGAGUUUUACUUUAUGAUGAAGAGCCUCCCUUUCUCAACAGGGAAGGUGGCCAGAGUGGGGGCCUCCGGGGGGGCUGCCUUGCUGGCUGAGCAAGCCACGGGGUGCAGGGCCUUUUAUUUCUGUGUAAAUCUGAUUACAGAAGAUCUGGGAAACUCGAAGAGAGUUCAGAAUAAAGCCACAAAGAUUGUUCAGGAUUUUAAAAAGAUGAAGGGAGGGGAAAGAACCGCGACGGAGAGACAGCGGCCCUGAUGGGAUCCAAGUGCUGCGGUUGUUUUCAUCUCCAACAGGCCUUUGGAGAACAGACAAGAGUCCAGACAGGGUGGGAUGUGUGAUGGUAAACCCAUGGAGGGCCAGAGGAAGGCCACACAGAGGGUGACUGCAGCCUGUUUUGUUCUACGCGCGUGCCGGAAGUGAAUUGAAACUCUGAGGAGAUGCUCAACCCUGCCUCCUGGAAGCUCGAGAUUCAGACAAGUCAGUCUCCUCAUUUGCAGAUGGGGCUUCCCUGGUGGCACAGCGGUUAAGAAUCCGCCUGACAAUGCAG